rnacentral:rRNA from 1 species
UACGUAGGGUCCGAGCGUUGUCCGGAAUUACUGGGCGUAAAGAGCUCGUAGGUGGUUUGUCGCGUUGUUCGUGAAAACUCACAGCUCAACUGUGGGCGUGCGGGCGAUACGGGCAGACUAGAGUACUGCAGGGGAGACUGGAAUUCCUGGUGUAGCGGUGGAAUGCGCAGAUAUCAGGAGGAACACCGGUGGCGAAGGCGGGUCUCUGGGCAGUAACUGACGCUGGAGGAGCGAAAGGCGUGGGGAGCGAACAGG